rnacentral:rRNA from 1 species
UACGAAGGGGGCUAGCGUUGCUCGGAAUCACUGGGCGUAAAGGGUGCGUAGGCGGUUCUUUAAGUCAGGGGGGAAAUCCUGGAGCUCAACUCCAGAACUGCCUUUGAUACUGAGGAUCUUGAGUUCGGGAGAGGUGAGUGGAACUGCGAGUGUAGAGGUGAAAUUCGUAGAUAUUCGCAAGAACACCAGUGGCGAAGGCGGCUCACUGGCCCGAUACUGACGCUGAGGCACGAAAGCGUGGGGAGCAAACAGG